UGGGCUUUGUCAGUAAUGGGCUAAUCUUCUGCUAUUCUGUUUUGUAAAAGCUCCGGCCUUCUCCGCCAGAGACGAGAGCGAAAUUAGGGUUAGUCCUCUUCUUCCAUCUCCAGACCAACAAUGGAGAAUUAGCAUGCCGAGAGAUACGAAUCGUUGGGAAGAAUCACUGCCCUUGAACACCAUCUUCAAGCAAGACAUGAUCUCAUUCAAUGAUACUCAUCCAUCUUCUAGGCGGUGUUUCUUUACCUACAAAAGGAGAAUGUAAUAUCUAGAUCACCAUGAAACCGGAGUCAUCACCGCCGAGUUAUGCCGGAGCAUGAUCCAGUGCCGUUUCCCACCGAAGACCUUGAACAUCAUAGACCGGUUCUCCAGUCAGGUGACAGAGACCGCUUAUGGGAUUCUAGAUUUCUCGCUUCAGUGGAAAGAAAGCAAAGAGAUAACGGAGUUCAUGGUGGAAUCUGUAAGGAAGCAAUCCCUGGAGCUGCAGGAGAAACAAAAGGAUUCUGAUUUGAAAGAGUCUUUGAAACACAAUUAGACUCAUGCCAAAGAAACAUGAAUAGCAAAAGAGAGAGCUUCAAGUUAGAAGGAACUUCAAGUUAGAAGGAAUUUGAAGAAAGAGAGUAAGUGCUUGAACGGAAGGAGUAAGAAUUGGAUGUACGAUCAUAACAAGCUGAGAAUAUAAAGAGAUCCAGGGAUGAAGUUGAGCUCUCAUUGCUGGCUGAGAAGGAUAGAGAUGACAAUCCUACUAGAAUUGGAUGUACGAUCAUAUCAUAUUGUUUUAAUUUUUCCUUAGACCAUAAAAUCAUAUAUGGAAAUGGAACAAAAAAUUCCAGAGAUAAAACUGGGUGUGAAAUGUUUCCAAUAGAUAAACAUACUGCUCUCUUCUCUUUCCAAAAAGUUUUUUAUAAACAUAACUCAAAGCUUAACCGUCCAAUUGUUUUUUUAUAAAAAACACAUCUUGAUAAAUUAGACCAAGCUUAUUAGCAGAUUUAGUUUAUCUGGGAACCAACUAAGAUUCAUAUCUAUACAAGUUAAUCAUGAUACACUCACACUCACUCAAUCUGCACAAUUUACAUCAUUUCAACAUAUACCCUAUGUUAAAAGCUAAAUUAGACAGAAUUGUGGUUCAAUGAAAAUCUGAAACAAAGUAUAAAUGAGAUGAUAUGUUAAGAGGUCCGACAAUUGGUCCGGUUUGUUUCUGUUGGAAACAAGUUGUGGUUUGUAAUCUAAGCAGAAGCUAAUGUCUUACAACUCUAUAGUCCAAACAAAAACUAUCCAUUUACAAAUGAUAGUUAGUACCAGUCCCAUAUUACUUCAAUAUAAUGACGCCAUCUAUUGAUUUAUUACAACUGAUGUGUCCAAACGGUAAAAUAAAACACUCACAUAAAGAUAUGAUUAAACUAAAACUAGACGUUACUUCAAUAAAGCUCUCAAUAACGUUACUUCAAUAAAGCUCUCAAUAAUGGUCAUUAUAAGUGAAAUUUACUGAAAUACAUAACGUAAAACAUACUUAGUGCAACAAAAUAUAUACAUAAAAAUAAGU